AACGAACGCUGGCGGCAUGCCUAACACAUGCAAGUCGAACGAGACCUUCGGGUCUAGUGGCGCACGGGUGCGUAACACGUGGGAAUCUGCCCUUUGCUUCGGAAUAACAGUUAGAAAUGACUGCUAAUACCGGAUGAUGUCGAAAGACCAAAGAUUUGUCGGCAAAGGAUGAGCCCGCGUAGGAUUAGGUAGUUGGUGGGGUAAAGGCCUACCAAGCCGACGAUCCUUAGCUGGUCUGAGAGGAUGAUCAGCCACACUUGGACUGAGACACGGCCCAGACUCCUACGGGAGGCAGCAGUGGGGAAUAUUGGACAAUGGGCGAAAGCCUGAUCCAGCAAUGCCGCGUGAGUGAUGAAGGCCUUAGGGUUGUAAAGCUCUUUUACCAGGGAUGAUAAUGACAGUACCUGGAGAAUAAGCUCCGGCUAACUCCGUG
rnacentral:rRNA from 1 species